AUGUUAGACAUAUUUUCAUUCUUGGAAAUUGUAAAUCCAUACUCAUUUCCACAAUGUACUAAGAGCAUAAAUAUCGUUGUGGCUUAUGUCUAUGUGUACUACUGUAGUCAGAGUAGUAUUGAUAAUAGAAGACAAAUGAUAGUAGUAUUAAUUGGCACCGUAUCCAAAAAAGGGAUCGUAGCUUUUAAUAAAUAUAUUACCUUGUAG